UACGAAGGGGGCUAGCGUUGUUCGGAAUUACUGGGCGUAAAGCGUAUGCAGGCGGAUCGUUAAGUCGGGGGUGAAAUCCCGAGGCUCAACCUCGGAACUGCCUUCGAUACUGGCGACCUUCGAGUCCGGGAGAGGUGAGUGGAACUCCGAGUGUAGAGGUGAAAUUCGUAGAUAUUCGGAAGAACACCAGUGGCGAAGGCGACUUACUGGACACAUAUUGACGCUGAGGUGCGAAAGCGUGGGGAGCAAACAGG
rnacentral:rRNA from 1 species